rnacentral:rRNA from 1 species
UACGUAGGGUCCGAGCGUUGUCCGGAAUUACUGGGCGUAAAGCGCACGCAGGCGGUCUCUUAAGUUUGGAGUGACAGUUGGUGGCUUAACUGCCAAAGUGCUUCGAAAACUGAGAGACUUGAGGGCUUCAGAGGGACACGGAAUUCCGGGUGGAGUGGUGAAAUGCGUAGAGAUCCGGAGGAACACCAAAGGCGAAGGCAGUGUCCUGGGGAGUACCUGACGCUCAGGUGCGAAAGCCAGGGGAGCGAACGGGG